rnacentral:tRNA from 1 species
GCCUUCGUGUUGUAGUGGUCAGCACGCUCGGCGAGCAUUUGAGAAAUCCGUGGUUCGAUUCCCGGCGAGAGCA